rnacentral:rRNA from 1 species
UACGUAGGGCGCAAGCGUUAUCCGGAAUUAUUGGGCGUAAAGAGCGCGUAGGCGGUCCGAUAAGUCGGCUGUGAAAGUCAGGGGCUCAACCCUUGAAAGCCGGCCGAUACUGUCGGACUAGAGUCCGGAAGAGGCAAGUGGAAUUCCCGGUGUAGCGGUGAAAUGCGCAGAUAUCGGGAGGAACACCGAUGGCGAAGGCAGGUCUCUGGGCAUUAACUGACGCUGAGGAGCGAAAGCAUGGGGAGCGAACAGG